ACUCAGGCGGCUCUUAAUAGAUGGUAUGAAAAGGGUGUCUUUUCCCUCUGCCUCACCCCUCUCAAUAGUACAAAUAAAACCCCCCACAAGAUUAAAGAAGAGAGUUAAAGCAAGAAUCCUCAUGACAAGGGGUGGCUACUCUGGCAUUUUCAAGUCUUGAGGUUGCUGUUUUCCAGGGGGUGAUGUGAUAUGACCCUAGCCAACAUGUAGAGCUGGUUUUGUGGACUGUGCCUGUGUGCUUGUGAGAAAGCAGAGCGACAGAGGGAGGCAGAGUUAGAGCUAGUUGCAGAAGGAAAGUGCAAUUUCUGAACAGGGGCAGACCUGCCUGACUUGGAUAUCAGCUUCUCCAUGAAAAUAUGCAGUGCCUAAAAUUUACACUGAUCGAUUUGUUCACGAGAAAGGACAUUUCUAAAAGAGCCAGGAGACUGCCCCCAGAACCAAGAGGAGUACUGGAGAGCAGAAGAUGAAGAAAAACCUUUAAACAGCAGAGCAGUGAAGUGGAGGGAGAGGCGGCCCCUCUCCUUUGCCAGAGACUCCCACUCCCAGAUGCAGGCUGGAGCGAUCCCUCAUAAUUUAAGCUGACACCCCUCAGCGGAGAUGAAAGGAACACCACUCGCUGCUCUCCAACAACAAAUGUCAGCAUCCCUGGAGGCCGUUUAGACACAAACGCAGCAUAAAUCUGACUCCUAGUGGGGAAGUCCAGAGAUUAAGUCUCCACACACAGCCUACCAGAGUGAAAUGAAUUUGCUUGGCACAAAGUUU